rnacentral:rRNA from 1 species
AACGAACGCUGGCGGCAUGCCUAACACAUGCAAGUCGAACGAGACCUUCGGGUCUAGUGGCGCACGGGUGCGUAACGCGUGGGAACCUGCCCUUAGGUUCGGAAUAACUCCCCGAAAGGGGUGCUAAUACCGGAUAAUGUCUUCGGACCAAAGAUUUAUCGCCUUUGGAUGGGCCCGCGUUGGAUUAGCUAGUUGGUAGGGUAAAAGCCUACCAAGGCGACGAUCCAUAGCUGGUCUGAGAGGAUGAUCAGCCACACUGGGACUGAGACACGGCCCAGACUCCUACGGGAGGCAGCAGUGGGGAAUAUUGGACAAUGGGCGAAAGCCUGAUCCAGCAAUGCCGCGUGAGUGAUGAAGGCCUUGGGGUUGUAAAGCUCUUUUACCCGGGAUGAUAAUGACAGUACCGGGAGAAUAAGCGCCGGCUAACUCCGUG